AACGCGAAGAACCUUACCAACUCUUGACAUCCCAUUGACCGCUUGAGAGAUCAAGUUUUCCCUUCGGGGACAAUGGUGACAGGUGGUGCAUGGUUGUCGUCAGCUCGUGUCGUGAGAUGUUGGGUUAAGUCCCGCAACGAGCGCAACCCCUAUCCUUAGUUGCCAGCAUUCAGUUGGGCACUCUAGGGAGACUGCCGGUGACAAACCGGAGGAAGGUGGGGAUGACGUCAAAUCAUCAUGCCCCUUAUGAGUUGGGCUACACACGUGCUACAAUGGACGGUACAAAGGGCAGCGAGACCGCGAGGUGGAGCCAAUCCCAUAAAGCCGUUCCCAGUUCGGAUUGCAGGCUGCAACUCGCCUGCAUGAAGUCGGAAUCGCUAGUAAUCGCAGGUCAGCAUACUGCGGUGAAUACGUUCCCGGGUCUUGUACACACCGCCCGUCACACCACGAGAGUUUGCAACACCCGAAGCCGGUGAGUAACNAACAAGGAGNCAGCCGUCGAAGU
rnacentral:rRNA from 1 species